CAGUAGCCACGGUAAUACGUAGGUGGCAAGCGUUGUCCGGAAUUAUUGGGCGUAAAGCGCGCGCAGGUGGUUUAAUAAGUCUGAUGUGAAAGCCCACGGCUCAACCGUGGAGGGUCAUUGGAAACUGUUAAACUUGAGUGCAGAAGAGGAGAGUGGAAUUCCACGUGUAGCGGUGAAAUGCGUAGAGAUGUGGAGGAACACCAGUGGCGAAGGCGACUUUCUGGACGAAAACUGACGCUGAGGCGCGAAAGCCAGGGGAGCAAACAGGAUUAGAUACCCCGGUAGUCCCUGUCUCUUAUAA
rnacentral:rRNA from 1 species